rnacentral:ncRNA from 1 species
AAAUAAAAUUCUUUAUGGUUUAAUAAUUUAUUAUAAAUUUAUUUUACAUAUAAAUUUUAGUGUUAAAUAUUAAUUAUUUAAAUAAUAAUUAUUUAUUUUGUAGUAAUUAAUAUUAAAAUAUUUAAGAAAUUAAGAUUUAGUAAUAUUUAAAUUAAUAACAAAUUUUGUGCCAGCAGUUGCGGUUAAACAAAAAUUAAAUUAAAUUUUAUUAGUAAUUAAUUAAUAAAUAUUUUUAUAAUAAAAAUUUUAAAUUAUUAGGUGAAAUUUUAAUUUAAUUAAAUUUUAUAUUUAAAUUUAUGAUUUAAUAAAUUUUAAAAAAAACUAGGAUUAGAUACCCUAUUAUUAAAAUUUAAAUUUAUAAUACUAAAAUAGUAAUUAAUUAUUUAUUGAAACUUAAAUAAUUUGGCGGUAUUUUAGUUCAUUUAGAGGAAUCUGUUUAAUAAUUGAUAAUCCACGAAUAAAUUUACUUAAUUUAAUAUUUUGUAUAUCGUUGUUAAAAAAAUAUUUUUAAAAAAAAUUAAUAUUUAAAAAUUUUGAAUUAAUUUAAAUCAGAUCAAGAUGCAGAUUAUAAUUAAGAAUAUAAUGGAUUACAAUAAAUUUAUUUAUACCAAUAUUAAUUUGUAAUAAUUAAUUGAGGGUGGAUUUAAAUGUAAUUUUAUUUAAUUUAUUAAAAUGAUUAAAAAUUAAAAUAUGUACAUAUUGCCCGUCACUUUCAUAUAAUUAUAAUUUAAUUAUAAUAAAUUGAAAUAAGUCGUAACAAAGUAGAGGUACUGGAAAGUGUUUCUAGAAAGAA